UACGGAGGGUGCAAGCGUUAUCCGGAUUCACUGGGGUUAAAGGGUGCGUAGGCGGGCAGGUAAGUCAGGGGUGAAAUCUCCGGGCUUAACCCGGAAACUGCCGUUGAUACUAUCUGUCUUGAAUAUCGUGGAGGUAAGCGGAAUAUGUCAUGUAGCGGUGAAAUGCUUAGAUAUGACAUAGAACACCCAUUGCGAAGGCAGCUUACUACACGAUCAUUGACGCUGAGGCACGAAAGCGUGGGGAGCAAACAGG
rnacentral:rRNA from 1 species